UUGAAGUCUCCUUUACUUUCACUAUUGGCGGGUUUUAGUCAAUUCUCGUUCAAAACACCGAGAACUUGGAUAAUAGCCCUCCCGCAACAUACAUUGCAGCGAUCCAGCCAAGAGCUUUCCUCUUUCUCCUGAUCAUGGUGCUUGUAGUCUGCUGCUUCAGCCUACUCCAAUCUCGUAAUGAAGACUCAUCUCCUGUUGGAAGACUUGAACCUGUGCUUUGUCUGUCUGGCUUUCCAGUUGCUCCCUGAGACACAAGUUCCCAGCUCCUAUUCCCCACAGGCUGUCCCAGGCUUUACCAAGGCCAAGACAGGUGGGGAGCAGCUCCCUCUGCUUCCGGUACACCUCAUCCCUGGAAAUAGAAGAGAAGCAGAACUUGCUAUUGACUUGCUGAAAACACUUGCUGGAAGAAAGACGUGAUUUCAAGAUGCUCUUGUGAUACAUCUUU